rnacentral:lncRNA from 10 species
ACAUCAGCCCCUGUCAUGCUCAUCAUCCCAGGAGGCCUUUCGCAGUAAACCCUGAACAAGAAAUCUGACAAAAAUAAACAAACCUACCUACAAAGGAGUUGGCAUCAUGGAGGACGCUUUGGCUAGAUAGGCCAGAGUUUGAACCCAGCAAUUUCAGGGCAGAUAAGCUAGUGAGAGGCCAGGCUUGGGACAAUGUCUUCUCCCUAGACUACACUUCCCUCUGGCUAGAUCUCUGGGUUUUAAACUGUCAGGGCCAAGACUUUUAAUUGCAGUAAAAUUCACAUAAUAUUUGCCAUUGUAACCAUUUAAAAGUGUACAUUCUGCAUGAUUCAGUGCAUUAAGAAUGUGCAACCAUAGAGGUUACUAUCUAGUGCCAGAACAUUUUCAUCAUCCCAAAAGGAAACCCUAUACUCAUUACGCAGUCACUCCCCAGUCUUCCUCCUCCCAGCCCCAGCAACCACUCAUCUAUUUUCUGUCUCUAUAGAUUUGUCUAUUCUGAUGGAAAUGUACAAUAUGUGCCCUUUUGUGUCUGGCUUUUUUCACUUAGCAUGUUUUCAAGGUUUGUCCAUGUUGUACCAUGUAUUGGCACACUGUUACUUUUUAUGGCCAAAUAAAUAUUACACUGUA